AGUGAACGCUGGCGGUAGGCCUAACACAUGCAAGUCGAACGGCAGCACAGUAAGAGCUUGCUCUUACGGGUGGCGAGUGGCGGACGGGUGAGGAAUACAUCGGAAUCUACUUUUUCGUGGGGGAUAACGUAGGGAAACUUACGCUAAUACCGCAUACGACCUACGGGAGAAAGCAGGGGAUCGUCGGACCUUGCGCGACUGAAUGAGCCGAUGUCGGAUUAGCUAGUUGGCGGGGUAAAGGCCCACCAAGGCGACGAUCCGUAGCUGGUCUGAGAGGGUGAUCAGCCACACUGGAACUGAGACACGGUCCAGACUCCUACGGGAGGCAGCAGUGGGGAAUAUUGGACAAUGGGCGCAAGCCUGAUCCAGCCAUACCGCGUGGGUGAAGAAGGCCUUCGGGUUGUAAAGCCCUUUUGUUGGGAAAGAAAAGCAGCAGGUUAAUACCCCGCUGUUCUGACGGUACCCAAAGAAUAAGCACCGGCUAACUUCGUG
rnacentral:rRNA from 1 species